CAGUGCUAGAGAUUUUUAUAUAUUUUUAAUAUACAGGCUCAUUGUAUAGUCAAAUCUCUCCAAAAAUGGCUUUCUUAUUAGUCAAUAGGUUUCAUAUAAAUGCUUAAAAUGCCACUUACAUUUUAUGGCUUUAUUUUUAUAGAUAUAUUUAAUAAUUUUACCCUAUUCUUAUGAUAUCAAACGUCCCGUGUAAAAGUUCUAUCUUUUGUCCAUGACUUAAAAUUUACUACCUACUUUCUCCUCUUUUACAUUGAAGUCAUCGGGUCUUAUGCUACAAUCUUUGAAACACAUUUGCAGUUGAGAAUUGGAGGGCAAUUAAUAAGUAUCUAAUUUCAUUAUUUUAUCUGUAGCUAUACCCAUUGAUCAGAAUCAUUUAUUAAUUUUUUUUAAAUUUUAUUAAACAAACAGCUAUCACUUUGGGAUUAUAUUGACUGAAUUUCUAAGGAAAAGUGACCCUUGCUCAUCCAGCAGUCAUCAGUGCGAAGGGAGCCCAGGAUGAAAUUUUUCUUUUGAAGAAUUCGAUUCGUUGGCUGAGGAGAGAAUUCAAUGGAUGUCCCAUUGAUUUGAAUUUGACCUUCAUCACAAAUGCAGAUAUAAUAUACACACAAGGAACAGCAGCACCCAGGAGGUAGAGGCAACAAAUACGAAGCUACAGGUCAUCCAAAGCAUUUAUCAGUGGCCACAUUUCAAAGGAAAAAGGACACUUGCUACACUAGUAGACCUCUAUGUCAGUAAGAAUGUGUGCAGGAAGUAUGAAUAAACUUUCCGAUCAAUGAACACUAUCUAGAAAGGGGUGAUUUCUCCAGUCAGUCACCAGCUUACCUUCUUCAUGCUCAAUGAGAUAAGAAGUAUGAAUAAACUUUCCGAUCAAUGAACACUAUCUAGAAAGGGGUGAUUUCUCCAGUCAGUCACCAGCUUACCUUCUUCAUGCUCAAUGAGAUAAGAAGUAUGAAUAAAUUUUCCAAUCCAUGAACACUCUCUAGAACUAUCUAGUGAAUAUUCCAGUUAGUUACCAACUUAACUUCUUCAUGUUCAGUGAGAUAGGAAGUAUGAAUAAAUUUUCCAAUCCAUGAACACUAUCUAGAAGGGGGAAUAUUCCCAGUUAGUCACCAACUGAAACGUCUUCAUGUGCAAUGAGGUAGUGCUCAGACGUCAGCAUGAAGACAAGCCCAUCCCACCCCAGACUAUUUUGAAGAAUGGAUUUAGAACUGCAUUAAUUCGACAAAAACGCUUUCUAGACAAUAAGGAGGAAUCGUUUUCCUUUCGGUAACCUCUACAAUAACUAAGAUACAAUUGCGGAUUGUUGCUCCAAUCAGUAGAGCUGCUAAAGGAAGAAGUAUGAAUAAAUUUUCCAAUCCAAGAACACUAUCUAGAAGUAGUGAAAAUUCCAGUUAGUCACCAACUUGACUUCUUCAUGUUCAGUGAGAUAGGUAAGUGUUGUCUCAUCAAUAUUGCUUUGCCAUCAGUUUCUGUAAGCAAAAAAUUAUGUGUUUAGGAAUGUACGUUGUUUGGGAGUUUCUGUGUGAUCUCAGUCAUCAAAACUCAAAUAGAUGUAACCCAUACAUGGCACUGGCAUGGCUUUGGUAGUGAGAGAUGGCAGUUAAGUUCUACUCUCCCCAUUAUUUUGUGAUGGAUUCUAUGAAUAUUCCAUUAACAUAGUAUAUAUUAAGGAGCUUCUACUGUAGUACUAUUCUAUAACGUUUUCCAGAAAGUCAAC
rnacentral:sRNA from 1 species